UACGGAAGGCAGCAGUGGGGAAUAUUGCACAAUGGGCGCAAGCCUGAUGCAGCCAUGCCGCGUGUAUGAAGAAGGCCUUCGGGUUGUAAAGUACUUUCAGUCGUGAGGAAGGUGUUAAGGUUAAUAACCUUAGCAAUUGACGUUAGCGACAGAAGAAGCACCGGCUAACUCCGUGCCAGCAGCCGCGGUAAUACGGAGGGUACGAGCGUUAAUCGGAAUUACUGGGCGUAAAGGGCACGCAGGCGGUUAAUUAAGUUGGAUGUGAAAUCCCCGGGCUUAACCUGGGAAUGGCAUUCAAGACUGGUUAGCUAGAGUCUUGUAGAGGGGGUAGAAUUCCAUGUGUAGCGGUGAAAUGCGUAGAGAUGUGGAGGAAUACCGGUGGCGAAGGCGGCCCCUGGACAAAGACUGACGCUCAUGUGCGAAAGCUGGGGAGCAAACAGGGAUUAGAUACC
rnacentral:rRNA from 1 species